AUCGCUUCUCGGCCAUCUGAGCUAAGCUAAUAUGUAGUACCUGUUUUUUGCAGUGCAAUUUCUGUAAUGGUCUUUGUUGAGACCAAUGAAAUUACCUGUAUUUUUCUAAGCCGGACGGGUGCUGUGAACUUGCCGAACCCCGUCCACGGGCGACCUCGCAUUGCAUUAUUUCGAGAAUUGGCUCACUCUUU
rnacentral:snRNA from 1 species